CACACACUCAAGUGACUCAACCCAAAACCUAAAACCACAUCUCUCUCUCUCUCUCUCUCAACCCACAUCUCUCUCAGCCUCGUCUACCUCAACGGAGACGACGAGGAAGCUGUCGGCAUUGCCUGACCUAGCCCAAGCCUCUCUUUAGAUUCGUCUCGAGCCCGGUGACAAUGAAUGAGACAACAACAAUACGAUUUGGAGCUUUGAUUUUCUGACGAUUAUUUCUCUCAAGGCAGACAACCUGGCUGGGAUAUUCAUAUGACAGAAAUUGAAGUUCUAUACAUGAAGGAAUACAUUCUGCAAAGAAUUACUAAGUACUUUGGUUGCAACAUUGCAUUUUGCUUCCCGAGAAUAGACAAUUGCACGUCCUUUAUUCAUUGCAACAUUACAGGCCUUCUUUUUAUUGCAGCAUUUUUUUUGGCUUCCUGAGAUAUUUAAUAAUUCUUUGCUCAUUGUACAUAAAAUCUUCAAACAUUGCAUUUUACCUUUCUCUGUCAUUUAUUUGCCAAAUAUAUAGAGAUAGAGCUGAAAUUUGAAAUUACACAAGCGGAUUUAGUAUAUAGUGUAACUAUUGGUUGCUGCUUAUUACUGUAUGUUUGCUUGGUCCAAUGGAUGUGAUCAAUGAGAUUCAAUUAUAGUUUGAAUUAGUACAGAAAUAAACCACGAAGAAGAAAAGAGCUUCAAUGGUUUGUCUUCCCAUUCCAGAUUACAAUGAGUGGGAGUUUCUGAAGUAUGGUCAUUAGUAGCUUCAAGUAAUGGAUCCUCUGUACAUUUUCUGCAAUGCUGAGGUGGCCUUAACCUCUCUGCCAUUUAUCUACUUGUCCAAGUUAAUUGCUAAAUAAAGUGGAACCUUGGUAGUGUUAUAGAGCAUUAGGCUUCUCAGCUUCUAUGCAGAACCAUUUCUCCAUGCUUGAAGUACUAUGUGACAAUGGAGCUAUAAGAACAGCCAAUGAAUUGAUAUUCCUAGCCUACUCAAACAUGUCAAAGAACCAAAAGAUGUCAAGGGCUGAAGACAUGACAUCAAAAGGACUGCAUAUAGUUUCUAAGGCAGUGUUAGAUGAAAGAGAUUUAGUUUUGAUGCUUGGAAUGAACAAAUGCACUAAAUUUUUGUAUGAAUAUUUGGGAAAUGUUACUUGUUUG